UCAGCCCUUCCAGAAGGUAUCCUUCUGGCAAGGGUACUGUACUAAACUAACUAAAGUGGGGGAUAGUGAGGGGAUAAAUUUUCUUAAGGAACUCGGCAAAAUCCCAAUGGCCCACCAGGGCAUAUUGGAACACGGGCCUCGACUGUUUACCAAAAACAUAGCCCUCGGCUAAUAUGAAAAUAGAUGUAUAGAGGGUGAUGCCUGCCCAAUGGUUGUAUCUAAAAGCGGUUGAUAAAAGUUGACCUCGUAAGGACAAUUGAAUGGCCGCGGUAACACUGACCGUGAUAAUGUAGCGUAAUCAAUAGCCAAUUAAUUGUUGGCCAGUAUGAAUGGCGCCACGAAGGCCCCACUGUCUUAAGGAAAUUCCCAGUGAAAUUGAAUUCGUAGUGAAGAUGCUACGUCCAAUUUGUUAGACGAAAAGACCCCGUUGAGCUUUACUGGAGCACUUACAUGGCCCCGGCCUUCCCAUGCCUGGGAACCGGCCGAAUUUAAAUGGGCGGCUUAGAUUAUGUGGCAGCCCCCCGCUGGGGCAAAUGAAACACCACUCCCCCAUGUCAAAGGGGCUAACCCCCCCCCCUUGGGGGGACAGUGUAAGUAGGACAGUUUGGUUGGGGCGACCACCUUUUAAAAAGUAACGAAGGUGCGCUUAAGGUGCGCAAUUAAUGACUGAAGCCUGACUGCGAGGGGGACACCCCGAGCAGACACCCCAAAGCCCGCCCGAAAGGCGGCGGUGGGGUGGGCCAUAGUGACCCGUUAAUUUAGAGUGGAAUAGUUAACGAUCAACGAAUAAAAGUUACCACGGGGAUAACAGCGUAAUAUCGUUAGAGAGUUCACAUCGACGACGAUGUUUGCGACCUCGAUGUUGAAUUGCGGCAUCCUGGGGUGCAGCCGCUC
rnacentral:rRNA from 1 species